rnacentral:rRNA from 1 species
AGAGUUUGAUCCUGGCUCAGGAUGAACGCUGGCGGCGUGCUUAACACAUGCAAGUCGAACGGGAAAUAUUUCAUUGAGACUUCGGUGGAUUUGAUCUAUUUCUAGUGGCGGACGGGUGAGUAACGCGUGGGUAACCUGCCUUAUACAGGGGGAUAACAGUCAGAAAUGGCUGCUAAUACCGCAUAAGCGCACAGAGCUGCAUGGCUCAGUGUGAAAAACUCCGGUGGUAUAAGAUGGACCCGCGUUGGAUUAGCUUGUUGGCAGGGUAACGGCCUACCAAGGCGACGAUCCUUAGCCGGCCUGAGAGGGUGAACGGCCACAUUGGGACUGAGACACGGCCCAGACUCCUACGGGAGGCAGCAGUGGGGAAUAUUGCACAAUGGGGGAAACCCUGAUGCAGCGACGCCGCGUGAAGGAAGAAGUAUCUCGGUAUGUAAACUUCUAUCAGCAGGGAAGAUAGUGACGGUACCUGACUAAGAAGCCCCGGCUAACUACGUGCCAGCAGCCGCGGUAAUACGUAGGGGGCAAGCGUUAUCCGGAUUUACUGGGUGUAAAGGGAGCGUAGACGGUGUGACAAGUCUGAUGUGAAAGGCAUGGGCUCAACCUGUGGACUGCAUUGGAAACUGUCAUACUUGAGUGCCGGAGGGGUAAGCGGAAUUCCUAGUGUAGCGGUGAAAUGCGUAGAUAUUAGGAGGAACACCAGUGGCGAAGGCGGCUUACUGGACGGUAACUGACGUUGAGGCUCGAAAGCGUGGGGAGCAAACCAGGAUUAGAUACCCUGGUAGUCCACGCCGUAAACGAUG